GUUAUCUCCCAAUCCUGCAAAAUUUUGAUCAAGUCCUUCACUUAACAAGAAGAACAAGUAUAGUAGGUAAUUUAGGCAAUUAAAAAAUAACAAACAUGAAAGUUCUGAUGUGUCAAUAACAAUGAUUACUCACAAGAAACUAGGUAAAAGCUAAAUGUAAUAAAUAUCUUUCAGGAUUUUUGUCAUUCCUUCUUUCUUAUAGAAGAAUUAUCAUGUAUAUUGCAUAAAAGGAAGACGGUUUUCAAUCUUUUCAGUUUUCAGUGAUAUUUAAUAUAGCCAGUGAGACUGUGAGAGUCACAACAUAGUUAGGUCUUGGGAAGAUACCAUAGUCCCAUUCUCAACAAUUUGCAUGGAUUAAAUGUUUCUCAUACUCAAACCCUCAUCCUCUAGGUUGAACCAAGAUAAAACUAUAGAACUAAACAAUAACCGGUCAAUGUCAUUCUCAAUGGUAACAAUUUAUAUUCUUCAUGGCUACACACGCAACUUCAUCCACCUAGGAAAACUAAGGUGAAUUUUAGAUGGGAUCCAACAUCCCAUUCCUAAAGAAGCGAAAGAUAGGAAAUAGUGAUUAUGUGGAGUUUGCUCCUGCUGGGAAAAAAGCAAGCACUUAUCUCAAAGACAGAUGUUAAGGUCAUAUACACUCUUAAUAUUAAAAAUACUACU
rnacentral:misc_RNA from 1 species